rnacentral:lncRNA from 1 species
CGGGUCGGCUGGGCUGCCCGCCGCUCCGCGCGCCCGGGCGGUCGCAGGUCGCGCCUGCUUUGGCCCCGGCGGGUUCGGCAUCCGAGCCUGGCAGGGGCCAAUAGAAAGUUUCCUACACUACUGAGGUUUAGGGGCACUGUGAAGCAAAAGCCACGCCUCAGAAUCCCAGGCGGAGACUCCGACCUCGUCCCGGGAGGGAAGCCAGUAGCUGAGCACCUGCGGGAGAUUAAAGAGAGGAAUAAGGAGAAACACUGGAAGGCAAGUGGCUGCUGACUGGAGGAGAUAAUUGGAUGCUGCAAGCGGCAAAGGGCUCGGGAUGCAAAACACCGCAAGAAAUGCAACAAGUGAGGAGCAUUCCCGCAAAGAAAAAACGCACAGGCCGAGAGCAGUGGCUCACGCCUGUAAUCCCAGCAGUUUGGGAGGCCGAGGCAGGUGCAUCGCUUGAGGACAGGAGUUCGAGACUAGGCUGGCCAACAUGGUGAAACCCCAUCUCUACUAAAAAUACAAAAAAAAAAAAAAAA